rnacentral:lncRNA from 1 species
GCAGACUCAGUGGUCAGCGGAAACUUGAUGAUAGCAUAGUGGUCAAGCUUGUUUCUCCUGGGAGCGCUCUUCCGAGGAUAUUUGGGCUGUCUCCGGAGUCGCAGUGUCUUCGGCCGCCGGAAGGUGGGUGACGUGUGGAUCUUCUUUUUGUGGCUGUGGACACCUUUCAACACUGCCUUCUUGGCCUUUAAAGCCUUCGCUUUGGCUUCGGCUUUAGGAGGGGCAGGAGCUUCCUUCUUCACUUUCGGCACCAUCUUGUGAAAAGGGUCCAAAACAAAUUUUUU